rfam:Trichinella nativa scaffold237s, whole genome shotgun sequence.
UAUCUGGUUGAUCCUGCCAGUAGUCAUAUGCUUGUCUCAAAGAUUAAGCCAUGCAUGUGUAAGCACACACUGUUUUAAAAGUUAUGCCGCGAAUGGCUCAUUGCAACAGCCACAGUUUAUUAGAACUUACAAUCAUGGAUAACUGUGGUAAUUCUAGAGCUAAUACACGCACAAAAACUUCAACUGAAUUGGUUGAAGUGCUUUUAUUAGAACAAAAACCGAACGGCGUUUGACGAAUGUUGAACGUCGAAACUGUUUGGUGAAUCUGAAUAACUAUUUCUGAUCGCAUGGUCUAGCACCGGCGACAUCACUUUCAAGUGUCUGCCUUAUCAACCUUCGAUGGUAGUCUAUGCGACUACCAUGGUGAUAACGGGUAACGGAGAAUCAGGGUUCGACUCCGGAGAGGGAGCCUGAGAAACGGCUACCACAUCCAAGGAAGGCAGCAGGCGCGCAAAUUACCCACUCCCAGCUUGGGGAGGUAGUGACGAAAAAUAACGAGACGAUUCUCGUUUGAGAAACGUUAUCGAAAUGAGUACGCUUUACACACGCUAACGAGUAGCAAUUGGAGGGCAAGUCUGGUGCCAGCAGCCGCGGUAAUUCCAGCUCCAAUAGCGUAUAUUAAAGUUGCUGCGGUUAAAACGCUCGUAGUUGAAUUGUGGUCUUAGACAACAGUCCCCCUACAUAGGUGUGGCACGGUUGCUCGAGAUCUUCAUUCGUGGUUGCUGUUGUUGCUCUUCAUUGAGUGUCAAUGGUGCCUCGAGAUUUUACUUUGAAAAAAUUAGAGUGCUCAAAGCAGGUUGUGAUGCCUGAAUAAUGGUGCAUGGAAUAAUAGAAUACGAUCUCGGUUCUAUUUUGUUGGUUUUCGAACCGGAGAUAAUGAUUGAAAGGAACAGACGGGGGCAUUCGUAUUGCUGCGUUAGAGGUGAAAUUCUUGGAUCGCAGCAAGAUGAACAAUUGCGAAAGCAUUUGCCAAGAAUGUUUUCAUUAAUCAAGAACGAAAGUUAGAGGUUCGAAGGCGAUCAGAUACCGCCCUAGUUCUAACGGUAAACUAUGCCAACCAGCGAUUCGCCGAAGUUCAUUUAAGACUCGGCGAGCAGCUUCCGGGAAACCAAAGUGUUUCGGUUCCGGGGGAAGUAUGGUUGCAAAGCUGAAACUUAAAGGAAUUGACGGAAGGGCACCACCAGGAGUGGAGCCUGCGGCUUAAUUUGACUCAACACGGGAAAACUCACCCGGCCCGGACACUGGAAGGAUUGACAGAUUGACAGCUCUUUCUUGAUUCAGUGGGUAGUGGUGCAUGGCCGUUCUUAGUUGGUGGAGCGAUUUGUCUGGUUAAUUCCGAUAACGAACGAGACUCUACCCUAUUAAAUAGUGACAGUAUUGUAUUUUUUGUGCUGAUCACUUCUUAGAGGGACUGGCAAAUUGAAAGCUGCACGAAAAAGAGCAAUAACAGGUCUGUGAUGCCCUUCGAUGUCCGGGGCUGCACGCGCGCUACAAUGAAAGCGUCAACGUGAGUUACGUCCUUACCUGAAAAGGUUUGGCAAUCGAAUGAAACGUUUUCUUGAAUGGAAUAGGGAAUUGCAAUUGUUUCCCUUGAACGAGGAAUUCCCAGUAAGCGUGAGUCAUUAGCUCGCGUUGAUUACGUCCCUGCCCUUUGUACACACCGCCCGUCGCUACUACCGAUUGGAUGAUUUAGUGAGGUGUUUUGACUGGCGCCAGUAGUCGGAUGUAUUCGGCUUCGCGCCGGGAAAUUUCCCAAACCAAAUCAUCUAGAGGAAGUAAAAGUCGUAACAAGGUUUCCGUAGGUGAACCUGCGGAAGGAUCAUUA